rnacentral:rRNA from 1 species
AUGUGGCUCACUGCUUUGUACAAGUUUGCCUCUGUCAGCCCUUUACUCCCAAUGAUGCCGCUAGUCUUGGCUAUUGCCAUAUGUGAGCACAAUAGAAACAGAUUCAGAUUUAAUUUAGAUUUUGAGAAGCAAGAUUUUAUGGCUAGCCGCAUGUACGUACAAAUGAGAGCUCCUAUGCAGCGCUACCGAUCUGGCGCUCACGCCCCCAGUGCUGCGCAGGCCCAUCUACUGUUCACCCUCGCAAUGACGAAUCUUCCUGUACAUGUGGAGAUGGACUCUUUGCAAGCUGUAAGGAUGAUAAAUGAUGUGGCCAUUGAUAGAUCAGUCUUUACCUCGCUGGUGGAGGAAAUCAAGCUUCUUAGCAAUCUCCGUACAACUAUUUUUCCUCAUGUUCAUCGUAGCCAAAAUAAUGUUAGUGAUUAUUCGGCAAAAUUUGCUAGAACUGAGAGUAGAACCAUCGUUUGGCUUAACUCUGGCUUGUUAGAGAUACUUUGGGAUGGCGAUAUGGCAAGUGACCCGGCAAUGCAUCCAUGUGCCAAAGCCUGCAGCUCAAGAUUUUCAGUUGGGAUCCGUCCUGUGUGCGUGCGUGUCCUCUUCCCACGUGAUCGCGACAGGCGGAGUAUCCUCCGGCUGACUCACGCCGAUCUUAUCCCAACCGCCGCGCGACCGUGCCGGCCCCGCAGCCAGCAGAUUCAUCCAUCCAAUCCAACGCACGUCGCCAAACAGCAGCACCCAGCCGGCCCCCGGUUCCCGAUCUCAUCCCCCAUAAAUAAGCCCACCAAGGAAGCAAAUCGAAGCGCAUCGCAUCCGUUUCUCUCGUUGCUAGGUGGCUAG